GAGUUUGAUCGUGGCUCAGAGCGAACGCUGGCGGCAGGCCUAACACAUGCAAGUCGAACGAACUCUUCGGAGUUAGUGGCGGACGGGUGAGUAACACGUGGGAACGUGCCUUUUGGUUCGGAAUAACUCAGGGAAACUUGUGCUAAUACCGAAUGUGCCCUUCGGGGGAAAGAUUUAUCGCCAUUAGAGCGGCCCGCGUCUGAUUAGCUAGUUGGUGAGGUAAAGGCUCACCAAGGCGACGAUCAGUAGCUGGUCUGAGAGGAUGAUCAGCCACAUUGGGACUGAGACACGGCCCAAACUCCUACGGGAGGCAGCAGUGGGGAAUCUUGCGCAAUGGGCGAAAGCCUGACGCAGCCAUGCCGCGUGAAUGAUGAAGGUCUUAGGAUUGUAAAAUUCUUUCACCGGGGACGAUAAUGACGGUACCCGGAGAAGAAGCCCCGGCUAACUUCGUGCCAGCCGCCGCAGUAAC
rnacentral:rRNA from 1 species